CCCACACAAUGAGGCCAUGGAAGAGACCUCUGCUGCAAAUUUUUCAAGCCUCUCUACUCCAUUCCAAAGACUAUCUCAGAUAAGACGGUGG